UAGCAAGAUUAACUUUUUUAUUAAUUUUCUCGAAGCCUAAGGAGUUACUUUAUUACUGUUUUUAGACAGAAAAUGUAAAUGUAGCAAAAUUUUAUUUAUAUUAUAAAGUAGAAAUGAAAUUUUUUUCGUAUUAGGAGAUAGCUAGUUUCAACAGAAAUAUAUUUACGUGUAGGUAAUCAGGUAGGGGUAUAAGCUAUAGAUAGCUUAGAUAAUUUAUUGAUUUUUCUAGCCCCUAGAAGGGUGAGCUUGUAGGGGAAAAAUUGUAGUGUGAGGUAGAAAGUUUGUUAGCAUCUAAGCUUGAAAUUAGCUAAGAUCAGAAGCUUGUUUUAAAGUAUUAAUGUACCGUUGUGCAUUGCUUAAGUUAGGUUGAUAAAUACUUAAGCUAGGAGGUGUUGUAUUUAUGCUAAAAUGAGUAUUUUGUAGAUAAUCAAAAACUAAAAAUUGAUUGUUUAAUUAAGAAUAAUGCGUUAAUUUAAAAUGUGAAAAAGGAACUCGGCAUCUAUGCUUCGCCUGUUUAGCAAAAACAUGGCUCUUUG
rnacentral:rRNA from 1 species